rnacentral:misc_RNA from 1 species
GAAAGACCAAAAUCAGCAACUUUUGCCACAUAAUGUUCAUCAAGCAAGAUGUUUGUUGACUUAACAUCUCCAUGAAUGAUUCCCCAAUCAGAACCAGUGUGAAGGUAAUGAAGACCCUUAGCUGCACCUAUGCAGAUUUCAAGCCUUUGCUUCCAAGUCAAUCUAGGUGGCACAGAUGCAGUGUUUGAGUUCUCUUUCCAGGUGUAUAGCUGCUCUCUCAGAGUCCCCUUUUCCAUGAAUUCAUAAACCAGUAUCAUCUCAGAUCCUUCAUAACAGUACCCAAUCAAGGAAACAAGGUGAC